rnacentral:rRNA from 1 species
GCUUAGAUAUUACACAGUACACCGAUUGCGAAGGCAGCUUACUGAACUACGAUUGACGCUGAGGUUACGUAAGCGUGGGGAGCGAACAGGAUUAGAUACCCUGGUAGUCCACGCUGUAAACGAUGAUCACUCGUUGUUGGCAAUACACCGUCAGCGACUGAGCGAAAGCAUUAAGUGAUCCACCUGGGGAGUACGACCGCAAGGUUGAAACUCAAAGGAAUUGACGGGGGCCCGCACAAGCGGAGGAACAUGUGGUUUAAUUCGAUGAUACGCGAGGAACCUUACCUGGGCUUAAAUGUAGAACGACGGACCGGGAAACUGGUCUUUCUUCGGACGGUCUGCAAGGUGCUGCAUGGCUGUCGUCAGCUCGUGCCGUGAGGUGUCGGGUUAAGUCCCAUAACGAGCGCAACCCUCAUCAUUAGUUGCCAGCGGGUAAUGCCGGGGACCCUAAUGAAACUGCCGGUGUAAACCGAGGGGGAGGUGGGGAUGACGUCAAGUCAGCACGGCCCUUAUGUCCAGGGCUACACACGUGUUACAAUGGUCGGUACAAAGGGCAGCUACCUGGCGACAGGAUGCUAAUCUCGAAAACCGAUCUCAGUUCGGAUCGAAGUCUGCAACUCGACUUCGUGAAGCUGGAUUCGCUAGUAAUCGCGCAUCAGCCAUGGCGCGGUGAUACGUUCCCGGGCCUUGUACGCACCGCCCGUCAAGCCAUGGAAGCUGGGGGUACAAGAAGUCCGUAACC